CUGUCUUAUGUAGAUGGGUUCAAAAUCCAAAGACAAUUAGCUUUAUAAGAGAAAGGCAGAGAUUUGAGAUGGACAUAGAAAAGAGAUGCUCUGAAGACAGAGGCAGAGAUAAGCAUGGAGGGAUGCAGCUAUAAGCCAGGCAGUGCCAACAGCCACCAGAGACUCAAAAUGGCAAGCAGUGGAAUUGCUCCUUAAAACUUCGCAUGAAGCAUGGCCCUGAGGAUAUUUGGGAGUGUUCAGGGAUCAUCUCAGGAGUAUCGGGUUUGGUCUCUAGGUUGAUGUAAAUCUGACCAGUGGGGAAAACUCAUUUCCUCCAUCCUGCUGGCUACUCUUAAUCAGAGAAAACUCCCAGAGGAUCGUUUUUUCAGAAGAGAAACCAUAGUAGAGCAGCUCAAGAUUAAAUUUAAUGUAACUGUUUAUCAAGCAACUGUGCUCACAGAAUAUGGAUACCGCGUAGGACCAUGGUGAUGAGAACACAUUCCAGGAUAACAAAAUUAAGAAACAAGGAAUUCUGUCCCUGAAGACAUCAUCCUGACCUUCAUAUCAGCCUUGGGCUGCAUAUUUCUGAAUUUCUAUACUAGAGAGGAAUGCUUCUGUCCUGUUUAAGAAUCUUUCCCAAAGCUGCAAUCAGGGUGCUGAGCAGAGCUGCAUUUUAAUCUGAAGACUUGCCUGGGAAGGAUCUCUUUCAAGCACUUAUGUGCUGGAACUCUUGAAGAACUACCGUAACUGCAAAAUAGUCCCUGUGUAGAUACUAAAUGGACUUUCCUACAAGCAGUAUCCAUUAUCGGCUGGCCUAUGCCUAACAGUAAAGAUGACCUCUGUUGAAGCCAUUUAUCUCAAGUCUUCGAUCUGGAGUAGCUGUGUCCAUCUCCUCCCACCUCUAUCAACUAUGUAGAACUGGUAAAAUUGGA